GAUCCUUAUUAAGGGGUCUGCAGAAAUGAAGGAAUUUCUUAAGAACCCCUACAUGUACCAGGUGCCAGAAAUAGUAAGUUCCUCUUCUAAGCUUCCUUGGUUUUUCUUGCUCUGUGCACAGCCCUUCCUGCUUAGUCUGUAAUGAGCACUUGUUUCUCUGCUUAAUCUGUAACUAGCAAACCUCUUACUCUGUAAACAAGCCUUCCCACCUAGUUGGUAAGGGACAGCCUCUGCCUUCUCCCCUAAUUGGCCUUACUCAAUUUCAAAUACUAGCCAAUCGGGUCAGCUUAGACUGUGUGGUCUGACUCCAGCCAAUGGGGAAAGGACUCAGAACAGGAACUGUGUUAGGGAUAAAAACCCCUGCCCUACCUGGCUAGGUGUGCUCUUGUGAUUGUGACUGACACAGGCAGCACCCUUUUGCAGAAGUAGAUGUGCGUUGCUGAGAAAUUUUCUGCCUAAGUUCUGGUUUUCUUUGCAGCACCCAGCAUUUGUUUCUAACACAGGGAAAGAGUGAGCUGGAGAAACCUCUCAAAUUCAAGAAAGCGUAAAGCAAAUUGAACAAUACGGGUGAGGAGCACGGACUAUUCUCUCAUGUUGAAUGUGGCACUUUUUACAUACAAGCAGGAGAGCAACUACACCAAGAUUUUGGAAAACAUGUUAUGUAAGGUUAAUUGUGACCUCUAUGAUGGGGAUAUGAUAAAGAAGAAAAGUACCUCACAGCGAUGAUUGGCAUGUGAUCACUUAGCCAAUGAGAUAAGAGGCUGUAGAAACGAUGUGAUAAUGACAUCUCCUGAGUUGCAGGUCCAUAUUAGAAGUGGAUAUGAAGUAAACAUUGAGCUUUCCUCACAUUUAAUUAACAAGCUUUAUUAUAGAUACAGCUCAAAUUAGUUAAUUCAGGAAGCUUAUUUUGUAGAAAUUAAAACAUUAAUAAACACAUACAUUUAGAAAUAAAGAACUCGGCUGACCCUUUGACUCUUUGAAACAAGUGGCCUUCCAUGCUGUGAAAGAUUGUAGCCACUCUUUGAGACAUUGGAAUGGUGUCCAUUGCAUUUUAUCAAGUUAACUAUAGGUCAGCCUGGGAAAUCUGAAGUUUCCUUAUCUCCUGUCACUGUGGUUGCUGUGAGAUUUUGUGUCAUCACUGUGCUGUCUUCCCUCUCCACAUGAAGGUGAGCUGUCUGGCUUCACUCUAACGUUUGUGAUUUCACGCCCGACCUGAUUGUUGCCAAGCAAUUCCUUUGUUUGGAGAAUUCUGUGCUUUGUUUAGAAUUUUUUAAAGGUUCUUUUCCUGUGGUCAGAUUUCUGUUUGCUACUGUGUCUUAUGCCUUGUUCUCCUACAGAGAAGAUUCUUUGAAGUUAGUGGAAGCUCAGCUUAAAGGAAGAUCUACUGCUCUGUGUGGUGGAUGACCAUGGGGGAGCGAGAAGGCAGCCUCCGGCUUUUGUUUUGUGUGUGUGUGUGUGUGUGUGUGUGUGUGAUGUACCUGGAAAAAUAACACGACUAGGAUUAAAGAGUAUGUUUGGCAUGUUUAAAAUAAAUUGUAAACCAAACGUAUUUUAAAGAAUUUAUACAAAUUUGUCAUUUAGUAAAAUGAAUGACUAUUGAGUAUUCAUGUCAAUAAAACAACCACUUGAAUACAACAA
rnacentral:lncRNA from 10 species